UCUAUGGAAACUGAAGAAAAUAGUAAAUUUUUAUUAGAAUUUAGUAUAUUCCAUUGGAUUUUCUACAUAGACAGUCAUGUUGUGUGCGAACAAAGACAGUUUUUCUUUCAAUAUAAAAUGCAUUUUUAUUUUUUUCUUUCCCCAUUGCACUAUAUUGCCGGUACAGUGUUAAAUAAUUAACAUUAAUAAAGAGAUAUAUCAAUGACAUUCAUUGGUUUGAAGACUCCGUAUUUUUAAGAUGUGAAUUCUCCCCAAACUGAUUUCUACAUCAAGGUGAGAACAG
rnacentral:lncRNA from 1 species